AUUUCCCACCCAUCUAAACAUGAUUUCCCUCCACAAGCCUUGCAAUCUCACAGUGGUAAGAUAUCAAAGCAACAAAAACUCUAAGCUUUCACUCACGAUGACAUACCAGUGGUCAAUAACUGCAACUAUUUGGCAUUCUUCUCAUGAAGUAACAAGCAGAAAGCCAAGAUUUAAGGUUUUUCAUUUCAAAAGUUCAGAGAUUCGAUCAAUGUAGUCUAGAUUGGAGAACCAGUCGAAUAAAGGAGUCCCCCAAUUAGAAGAGGAGGAGGUUAUGAUUUUUCAAUAUCCUCAAGCGAGAUCGUGUAAAGCGUUGCAAAUUUUCAGCGGAAUGCAAGUUAAACUGUAGCUCCCUGAAGAUGUUGGCAUAUGGAAAGUGUGAUUAGGUAAGACGAUUUCCAAAGUGACAAUCACAAAGACAAAUCAAGUCAGGGAGAAAUCAUGAAGAAGAAGAUCACCUCAAAGAGAAGUGUUUUUCAAGAUCCAAGCUUCAUAAGAUCUCUUUGUAAGGUUGUUGGUGCACUAGGAUUUUCAUGCAUUACAUUAUUUACUUAUGCACCAAAAUCAUCCAAGAGUUAUUUUGUUUUAAAUAUUUUAAGAAUUGGAUGAUUUCAUGUUUUCAACUAAAACCUUGUGUUAAAUGUCUUUCAAACUUGUUUUAAAAGGUUUUAAGUCGAAAAAGUUGGUUGUUGAGCCAAAAAACGGCUCAACCAGUUGAACCGGGUAAGGAACCGGUCGACCGUAAGCUCAACCGGUCGACCGCAAGCUCAACCGGUCGACUGCAAGCUCAACCGGUCGACCGCAAGCACAACCGGUCGACCGCAAGCUCAAUAGGUCGAGGUCCGGGUCGACCCACAACUCAACUGGUCGAGGCCCGGGUAGACCCCCAGCUCAACCUAUCGAGGGUGCAAAAAACUUUCUCUUUCUUCCAGAACAGUUGUUCAACCGGUUGAGGUUCGGUCGAGGUCCGACGGUCACUCGCCAAGCAUUAAUUGCUAACGGCUAGUUAACCGGUCGACCCCUAGCUCGACCAAUCGAACUCCAAAACGGCUAGUUUGGUUUUUCUCUUCUAUAAAAAGGCUUCAAUCUUCAUUGUUUAAAAAGCUUAACCUUCCCAAAUCUUUCUUGAUUAUAUUUGUGUCUUGGAAUAGUGUUUUUUAGUGCACCAUUGUUUUAAAACUUGCAUAUCCUUAGUGCACCUUUCAAUCCUAGUUUUCUUGUAUCAAUUGAGCUUAAAGUUCUUGUGUUAAGAUUUUUGUGAGAUCUUUUAUUUGUAAAUCCUUGAGAAAAAGUUGUUCAAGAGUGGGAUAUCUCUUGAGAAGUGUAAAGGGUGCUUGGAGCCAAAAGUCCAAGAUGGUGAAUUGGAACCAUAAUCCAAUUGUAUUGCUUGAAGGCUUGGUUUGGAAGCCUUGAAUUAGUGGAACCUUAAGCUCGAGAGUGAAGCUAAAGGAGAGUGGAUGUAGGUCGGGUUACGCCGAUCCACUAUAAACUUUUGUGUUUGAAUUCUCUCUUCUCUACUCUUUAAUUUAUAUGGAAUUGUCUAUAUAUUGUUUAUUAUAUACUUGCAUAUAAUUGUCUCUUACAUUCACUUGUUUAUAUUUGCGAAAAGAGACCAUCACCCUAUUCACCCCCCCUCUAAGGUGAGUACCAUAGGUUGGAUUAGCCUAAUAUUCCUAAUACAAGUAAAUGUCUUAAUGGCUUUAAACAAAAACGAAAAAGAAUUUCCACUUGUUUUUUUUUCAAUAAGGAGAAAAUAUUAUAGCAUUUCUCUUCUUUGUUUUUUUUUGGCAUGCUCCUCUAAUAUCAUUCCUUCUUUAUAAAGAGAACAAAGAAUUUAAAAAUAUAGUAGUAUUAGAUAAUUUUAUUAUAUUCCAUUUUUUCUUUCUUAAUUUCUAUGGAGAACCAAAUAAAAGAAUAUUGUAUUCCUUGCUAUUCUUUUCCUUUCUCUAGUACCUUCUAAGAUCUAAAUGGAAUCUUAUUGUAUUAAAAAAAAAGUGAGGAAUUCCAAGCUAUUAAAAUUAGUUGCACAAACAUUUCUAAAUUAGUUAAAUUCCCCGAUAAAAAUAAGUAUGUGAAAUGAAUUUUCCUUCUCUGUGCAAGAACACUUUCAUAUUUGAUAUUAACUUAAAUUACUCUUAGUAACUAGGAGUUUUCAAAUUCAUGAUUAUAGUCAUUGAUCUCUUAUAUGUAAAUUAUCAUGACUAUAGUUAAAUGCUUUGAGAAAAUGCUUCUUAUAAAUUGUUUUCGUGUAGUUUAGAUAUAAUUUUUAAUUUUCAUCCUAUGGACGUCUAUAACAUCUAGUCCUUUGCUUAGGUACCUGAAAUCAUUUACUUCUUAAGCCAAGUUUCAUGCAUGGCAAACCAUUAUCCCAAACUUGGAACAUAGUUUAGAUUGUUGGCUCUCUAUUGUCUGCAUAAGGAAACAAUAUUACUGCUACUAUCAUUAUCCCUAAUAUAUUGUUCUUGGAUAUGGUCUUGAACACAUUUCUAGAGGGUUCAUUAUUCCAAUUCUGUUAUCAUAAUCACAUAAUCCAAUUCUGUAAACAUUUUUUAUAUGAUUGAUGACACCUACCAACUUGGUUAAGUUUUGGGGUUUGUAAAAUGGAUUCGGCUUCAGGUUUCCAAACCUUCACCUAGAUUAGUUGUUUCUUCUCCUUGCUAGAGAUAUUAAAAGAGUGGAAAAUGAAUGUUGCUAUAGGAAUUUGUUAUAGGUUCUAGAGAUAUUUUGACAAUGUUAUUUAUUAAAAUUUAAAUAUUAUUGAUAUUCUUAUCGUAUUGUAUCUAUUUAUUUAUUUCAGUUUUUCUACUAAACAUUAUUUUCCUCUUAUUGAAGUUCUAGAACAACAAAAUUCUUACUAAGAACUGCAUCCUAUGUGACUCUAUACUUACAUAAUUUGCAUGAUCUUAGUGACUCAAACAACUGACUUAUAGUUAAAAUCAUUUAUUUCUUCUCUUGAGGUUGAAGAAGUUUGUUAAGUUUGCAAAUUGGCAUAUUCGGUUUUCCCUUUGAGAUCUUAGAAAUCUCAUGCUUUAUUAGUGUCUAUGUCUUUGUUGCAAAGUCACCAUUUUUAUUAUACAAUCCUCUAUGCCAAGCAUUCUCAACUGCUAACCUAAUGUUAUUUUUUUAUGUCAAUCUAGUGGUGUUGAUCAAUUUAAGUGAUAGUCUGCCCAUCUUGAAGAGCAUUAUGGUAAAGGUGAAAGAAGCACUCCACUCCAAGGAUAACAUGCUUCCUUGCCUAGGUUGCAAAGGAUACUUGUUUGCUAAAAGAAGAGAUCAAAAUCAUUGUGUUAAAGAAGGCGAUGCCAAAAUCAUGAAGAUUACAUCAAUGAACUCAUUAGGAAGUUGAAUUAUGCUUUUAAAGAUUAUGAUUUACUUUAGUAGUCUUGGUACCAAUGUUUGUUCUUAUGUUGAAAGAAUUAGAAAUUCUUGUUGAAAUAUUUUGAUAUAAUUAACAAGUUUAUGUGUCAUUAAUGUA